AGAUGGUUGCCUUAGUCGUGGCUGUGCUGGUAACAUUGUCGUCGUGUGCAGUCUGUUGUCCUGGGAGCCCAAACACUACAGGGCAAGAUCUGUGGGGCAUGAAAGAUCAACCAGUGUCUGUUCAACUCGCUGCAGUAUUUAAGGAGAUGGAGAGUCUAAAGUGUGAACAAACAACACUUCAGCAGCAGCAGCAGAAAGCUCUGAAUCAG